AUCUUUUUAGUACAAUAAGUAUAAUUGGCCUCCAACCAAGAGAUUAAAAUAAAUUUAAAAAGAUA
rnacentral:tRNA from 1 species